rnacentral:rRNA from 1 species
GACAGAGGUCCCAAGCGUUAGGCGGAAUCACUGGGCUUAAAGCGCGUGUAGGCGGACUUCUAAGUACCUUGUGAAAUCCCACGGCUCAACCGUGGAACUGCUUGGUAUACUGGUUGUCUUGGGCCAUCUAGGGGCUAGCGGAACAAACGGUGGAGCGGUGAAAUGCGUAGAUAUCGUGUGGAACGCCAAUGGUGAAAACAGCUAGCUGGGGAUGUGCCGACGCUGAGACACGAAAGCCAGGGGAGCGAACGGG